rnacentral:misc_RNA from 1 species
UUUCCGUAGGUGAACCUGCGGAAGGAUCAUUGUCGUGACCCUGACUAAAACAGACCGCGCCCGCGUCAUCCAAUCCGCCGGUGAUGGUAGCGUCCGUUGCUCGGCCAAGUCCUCGACCGCCUCCCCUCCUCGGAGUGGGGGCUCGGGGUAAAAGAACCCACGGCGCCGAAGGUGUCAAGGAACAGUGUGCCUAACCCGGGGGCAUGGCUAGCUUGCUAGUCGUCCCCCGUGUUGCAAAGCUAUUUAACCCACACAACUCUCGGCAACGGAUAUCUUGGCUCUU